UACGAAGGGUGCAAACGUUGCUCGGAAUUAUUGGGCGUAAAGCGCACGCAGGCGGCUUGGCAAGUCGGAUGUGAAAUCCCUCGGCUCAACCAAGGAAGUGCAUCCGAAACUGCUGAGCUUGAGUACGAAAGAGGAUCGCGGAAUUCCCGGUGUAGAGGUGAAAUUCGUAGAUAUCGGGAGGAACACCAGUGGCGAAGGCGGCGAUCUGGGUCGAUACUGACGCUGAGGAGCGAAAGCGUGGGGAGCGAACAGG
rnacentral:rRNA from 1 species